AUUGAACGCUGGCGGCAGGCUUAACACAUGCAAGUCGAGCGAGCGGCGGACGGGUGAGUAAUGUCUGGGAAACUGCCUGAUGGGGGGGGAUAACUAGUGGAAACGGUAGAUAAUACAGAAUACCAUCAGAGGUGACCAGAUGGGAUUGGCUAGUAGGUGGGGUAAUGGCUCACCUAGGCGACGAUCCAUAGCUGGUCUGAGAGGAUGACCAGCCACACUGGAACUGAGACACUGUCCAUACUCCGACGGGAGGCAGCAGUGGGGAAUAUUCCACAAUGGGCGCAAGCCUGUUGCAGCCAUGCCGCGUGUGUGAAGAAGGCCUUCGGGUUGUAAAGCACUUUCAGCUAGGAGGCGUUACUCGCAGAAUAAGCACUGGCUAACUCCGUGCCAGCAGCCGCGGUAAUAC
rnacentral:rRNA from 1 species